rnacentral:rRNA from 1 species
AGUAUCAUUAAGUGAAUACAUAGCUUAAUGAGGGGAACUCAGGGAACUGAAACAUCUAAGUACCUGAAGGAAGAGAAAGAAAUUCGAUUCCGUAAGUAGCGGCGAGCGAACGCGGAUUAGCCCAAACCAAUAAAGUUUUCUUUAUUGGGGUUGCGGACAUAUCAUAACGAAGAGGUAUCGUAAUUGAAGAGGUUUGGAAAGACCCACCACAGAAGGUAAUAGUCCUGUAUGUUAAACGAGAAGACUUUAGAUCUGCACCCGCGUACCACGGGACACGUGCAACACGGUGGGAAGCAGGAGGGACCACCCGCCAAGGCUAAAGAGUACGUAGUGACAGAUAGGGAGAAGGACCGGGAGGGAAAGGUGAAAAGAACACCGGGAGGGGAUGGAAGUAAGACCUGAAACCCUGCACUUACAAGCUGUGGAAGCACAUUUCUUGUGUGACCGCGUACUUUUUGUAGAACGGGCCAACGAGUUACGUUAAGUAGCAAGGUUAAGCACUUAAGGUGCGGAGCCGUAGCGAAAGCGAGUUUUAACUGAGCGUUCAGUUACUGGACGUAGACCCGAAACCGGGCGACCUACCCAUGAGCAGGAUGAAGCGAAAGUAAAAUUUCGUGGAGGUCCGAACCCACGAGCGUUGAAAAGCUCGGGGAUGACU